UCGAGCUCAGAGCCGAACGACUCCUUAUUUCUCCAUUUCAAAUUAGCCUCUUCCCAUAUAUAGUGACUAACACAUGCUGCGCGACCGCUCAUUUCAUUUCUGAUUGUUUUUAGAAACCCUAGCGUCUCUGUUCUGAUCUGAGGACUUCUCCUUCAAGCCUCCAGCCACUUCUGUUUAGAACAUGAGAGAUGUCUCUCAUCUCUCGGCGCCUUCUCUCUCUUUAAUAUCAGAAAUUGCGCUCAUUUCUCCAACCUCAAGCAGCGCUCAUUCAUACAAACCAUCCAUUUCACAGCAGCUCCGUCUAAGCCCUGCAUCCUUUUCGCAGCCAAGAACCCAGCAACAUACACACCUCCGUGAGUACCCAGCGGGCCAGUCGUGAUGGGGAAAGCAUGAAAAAUUGGGAUGCUGAAGCAAGAAAAACUACCACGAGCCGCCAGCUCCGAGAGCACAGAGGUCAUCCAGCGCCCCCAAACUUGCAAUCUUAGCCGAUCUACACCUCAGGGGAAAAAAUUCCAUAUUUGUGGUCUGCACAGAACAAAGGAGAAGAUAUCUUCUCGGAGAUCACAGAUCCGAGCAAACACAAGGACAUUCGGGUUCAGUGUAUAGCCGAGAGAAGGAACGCCCUAAGCUGCUGGUCCAGAGGUCCCAAACGUACAAAAAUACGCUUCAAAGUUUCGGCAUCUGCAAAUCAGGAAGGUAAAGCUCUUUCUUCAGCUUUUGCUUGGCUCAACAUUUACAGAUUCGAAUACAUUUCAUUUAUCAUGUAUUAUCGAUAUGCUGUGAUGGCAACCUCAAACUGAUUUUAUAAGAACUGGGAGAUGUCGGACUAAGCAUACUUGCUCCCAGAAAAAAAAGAAAAGAAUUAAUCCCCUGGAUCAGAACUGAGAAUAUACAUGUGGACCAUGGGAACUGGAACCGUUUUGAUGACAUAUGAAGAACCUAUCCUAGACUUAAAUGAUGAUAUAAUUUUCAACUCUAAAUGCAUGGAUAAAGUUUGAUUUUUUUUUUUCUGAGUUAAGCAUUUUGCUACAGGAAUGCAUCAAAUUAAUAUUUAAAUAACUUCUUCGAUAAAAUUAUUUUGGCUUCUUAUUUUCUUUUUGGGGUUUCUUUGUUGCAUAAUUUUGUUUGUUAAUCUUUGAAUACGGUGAAGUUUUGUUUCCUUAUUCUGUUCAAAUUAUUCAGCAAGUAUUCAGACGGUCUAAAAAAAGAGAAACUAAAUAUAUUAAUUUUGCUUGCAAUAAAAGCCUAUAAAAAUAACCAAAAAUACAUAAAUCACAUAAGAAUUAUAUUCAUACACACAAUGAUUACAGUUCAAGUUGUUUUAGGAGUUCCCUAAUACAAAUUAGGAGAGUUCCAUCAAACAUUUUAGUAAACGUGUUAAUUUGUGUUCCGAAAUUGCCCUCAGAAUAACAGGAAAAUGGAAGCUUAAACGUGUAAUUGGGUGAUGUGCAUAAAAAGGAGAAAAUAUUUGGUUGCUAAACGUUUAAGCAGGAACCCAUGCUUACACCCAAUCCUGGGUGAACACGAGUUCAAUUUUUGAUUAAAAAAAAUCAAAAAUUGGACACGUGUCCACCCUAGAAUUGAGUGUAAGCAAGAGCUCGUGCUGAAACUUCAGCACCCAAGCAGCUUUCGGUUGGGUGGGGAUAGAUAGCCUUCAGAUUGUCCUUUGAACUUGUUUUCCUUUUGUUCGUGAGCGUUGCAGUCGUCUCAGAUAUUAUGUUUUAUAAGGUGUUUCAUAUAUCAAAUCCCUCAACUUCCAUCCCAACAUCAUCAUAAUGAUUGCAAUCUGUUGCGGUUAAAACAUGUAGGUUUCAAAUUUUUUUUUUUGGCAUAUAAAAAAAGAUGAAACCUUAGCUCCAUUUUCAUCUGGUUCCAUCAUCCGACAUUAGUUAUGGGCAGUCUUAAAACAGGCUAUAAUAAAGGCCAAUUGAAAUAAAGCCCAGUUGACCUUCUAUAUCCCCUAGCUGUACGCACCAACACUCUCUUCCCAGUAAAGGUAAGCACCUCUCUCCAGAAAAAAUAAAAGAAGAGAGAAGGAAAUGAAGAUAAAUGUUGGAUAUGGAUUCUUGAUGUUGAAGCACAGGAUGUGUGCUACUGCUUGUGCUGGACAUUUUGCAUCCAAAGUCCCAACCCUAACCCUACUCCAGCAAAAAGGUAUCAAUUUUAACUUUCCUAUAAACCUUAAUCAUUUCUGUGAAAUUUUUAUAUUCUGAAGAUUUUAUAUUUUUUUUAUGUGUAUUCUCUCUCCUUGCAGUUCGAUGUAUAAUCAGCUUUAUCUCCUAAGCUUAUUUCUUAUCCCAUUGAAGCACAUGUGGGAUAAGAAAUUAGCUUAGGAUGUAAAAUUGAUGAUACAUCGAAGGGGAGAAUACACAUAAAAAAAUAUAAAAUAUUCAGAAUAUAAAAAUUUCACAGAAAUGAUUAAUGUUCAUAGGAAAGUUAAAAUUGAUACCUGGUUGCUGUGGUAAGGUUAGGGUUGGGACUCUGGAUGCAAAAUGCUCAGCACAAGCAGUAGCACGCAUCCUCUGCUUCAACAUCAAGAAUCCAUAUCCAACAUUUCUCUUCAUUUUCUUCUCUUGUCUUUUAUUUUUUCUGCAUAGGUCAUUUGCUUAAAUGGGGAGAAAGGGUUGGUGCGUGCAGUUAGGGAUAUAGAAGGUCAUAUGGGCUCUAUUUCAAUUGGGCUUUACUAUAGCCUGUUUUGGACUGCCUAUAAUGAAAGUUGGAUGAUGGAUCCAUAUGAAAAUGGAGCUGAUGUAUCAUCUUUUUUUAUGCCAGAAAAAGAAAUUGAAACCUACAUAGUUUAAUCGCAUCAGAUUGCAAUUAUCUACACGAACAUAAUUAUUUGAAAUUAAAGUAACUCGUAGAAAAUAACAUAAUUAUACCUAGCUGAAAUUGAUUUAAUAUAUCAAUAUAAUUUCAAAUCCAAGGUGAAGGAUAUUUGUCAACCAUUAUGAUGAUGUUGGGAUGGAAGUUGAGGGAUUUGAUAAAUGAAACACCUUAUAAAACAUAAUAUCUGAGACGGUUGCAGAGCGCGCGAACAAGGUUUUGUGUGCACAUGUGGAGAUAAAACUGGUAAUCCAUCGAAUUGCAUGGAGAGAAUAUAUAAUCUUGAGAAUAUAAAAGUUUCAUAGAAAUGAUUAGGGGUCAUAAUGAUUGGAUGUUCACACUUUGUCACUUGAGUUGCACAUAGUUUCAUUUUUAGCGUGGAUGCAUAUUUUGGAGGAAAGACAAAGAUCUUGAGCAAUGUACUUUAUACGAUUGAAUGCACAAAAUUUUACCAUUAUCAAUUAAGUAAAUGAUUGACUAGCACAAACAGCAGCACGCAUCCUUUGCUACAACAUUAAGAAUCUAAAUCCAAUAUCUCUAUUCAUUUUCUGGAGAGAUGUCAUUUCCUUUACCGGGAGGGAGUUUGUGAAUGUAGGUAGGGGAGGUAGAGGUCAAUUAGAUUUAUUUCAGUUGGGUAGCCUGCUUUGGACGUAAUGAAUAUUGGAUGAUUGAAGGAUAAAAAUUGAUUUGAGAUUUCAACUAUUUUUUAUGCAAGAAAAAAAUUUAAACCUACAUGGUUUAACUAUAUCAGAUUACAAAAAUCUGCAUGAACAUGAACACAAUUCGGAUGAUUGCAAUCUGAUGUGGUUAAACCAAGUAGGUUUCAAUUUCUUUUUCUGCCAUAAAAAAAGAAGUUGAAACUUCAUUUCCAUUUUCAUCCAUUCAUCAUUCAACAUUCAUUAUGAGCAGUUCAAAACAGGCUACCCAGUUCAAAACAGGCUACCCAAUUGAAAUAAAGCUCAGUUGACCUUCUACCUCCCCUAGCUACACACACAAACUCUCUCCCUAGUAAAGGAGAAAAAGAGAAGGAAUAAAAUGAAGAGAAAUAUUGAAUUUAGAUUCUUGAUGUUGUAGCAGAUGAUGUGUGCUAGUCCUCGUAGGCAUUUUGCAUUCAAAACCCCAAACCUACCCUAGCUCAGCAACAAGGUAUUACUUUUAAGUUUCCUAGUGGACCUUAUAUUUUUUAUCUGUAUUAUGUGAAACUUUUAUAUUCUGUAGAUUUUAUAUUUUUUUAUGAAUAGCCUCUCUACAUGCAGUUUGAUGUAUCACCAGUAAGCUAUUUUACUAUUCCAUUGAAGCACGUGCACACAAUGAGUUACACAUCAAUGGAAGACUUCAGGGCAAGCCAAUGUCCAUUUUUAGUAAACAAUUUUCUAUUCAGAAUAGUGAGCCAGGCGCUUUAUUUUUUACUGAAAAUGUGGAGUGUUCGCUUAAAGAUUAUUUUAGGUCGAUUUAAUAAAAAAACUGAAUUUAGGAAUCCAAAUACCCCAUAUUGUGAAGGGGGUUCUGGAGUGCUUCAGAAAAUACAGAUAUGGUAGAGAAGGUUUUAGAAGUUUUCACUUUAAACAUUUAUAUUGUACUGGUAGGAAGGUUGUUAAUGUAAUGUUUAUGAUACAAUUGUUGAUGGUGCCACAACUGCUCAUAAGCAAACUUUAAAUGAAAUGUUUGAUGGAACUCUCCCAAUUUGUCUUAGGGAACUCUUGAAACAACUUGAACUGUUUUGUACGCUUUAACUGCACAUGAAAUUAAUAUAUUUAGUUUCUGUUUUUUAGACCGUUUGAAUACUUGCUAGAUAAUCAUCACUCAAAUGAGAUAUGAAUCAAUGAUAAAUUAUAGGACUUAUGUUGUUUGCAACAUACUGGAAGACUCAGUAAGUUUGACAAAUAAAACCAACUUGUCAAGAGUGUCCUAGCCAUGGAAGACAUUAUUAGGUGGAACGUAAGGGAGUGGGAGAAAAAUUACUGAGCCUUCCGGUAUAUUGCGAACAACAUAAGUCCUAUAACUUAUCCUUGAUUCAGAUCUCAUUUGAGAGUGAUGAUUAUCCAGCAAGUAUUCCAACGGUGAAGGAGAGAAACUAAAUAUAUUAAUUUUGCUUGCAGUCAAAACCUACAAAAAAAAAACAUAAGAAUUAUAUGCAGUCAUAAUGAUUUCAGUUCAAGUUUUUAAGGAUUUUACUGAGACAUCAGUUCAAGUUGUUAAGGAUUUUUCUGCAGUUCAAAUCUGUUCAAAAAUUGACCUAAAAAAUCUUUGAGUGAAACACUUCAACCUCUCAGUAAACAAUAAAACAGCCUGGUCACUCUUUUGAUUAGAAAAUUGUAUGUUAAAAAAAUUAUCAGACAUGAACUGGAGAGUCAAACUUCCACUUCUCAAUCUCUUCUAGAGAGUUUAAAAUUGGAAUUGUAGACAGCAAGACUGCUGUGUCAUCUCCACAAACAAGAAGCAAUCUUCUGCCAAUUGUUUGAUGGACAUCAACUAUCAUUUUGUCAGAGAAGAUGUAAAGAAAGGGCUGCUGGUGAUUGAACAUGUUGAUACCAAUUCCAAGAUUGCAGACCCUUUUACAAAGCCAUUACUAGUUGCGGAUGGGAGUUCUAGAAUCAUUCGAUUCAGCAUAGUUGUGAUGACAAAUAUCCAACAAUAGACCAUCGUAGUAUGACGAUUAUCUGAAUAUGAGCACAACAUAAGACCAAAUUUAAACAAGCAUAAUAGUCACUGUCAUGAACCACAACGCGAACAGCAUAAAUAUAAUGAGUAUCAAAUUUUAAGCGCAUCCUAUCCGGUCCAAUCCAAGGCCAACUUAAUCCUCAGACAUGUGACUUCGUAGCCAACUAACCUCACGUGUCCCCACCUUCAGUAGCGUUGCUCUCUUCUGAGGGUUAGCUUUCAAUACCCCUUUUGCAUACCACCACAGAUCGCUAUGUUCAUAACAAUAGGGGUUAGCUGAUACAGCCCUCAUCGCUUUAUCAAGUGAAGGUGCACUGCCACUACUAUAUACUGCUUCAACACGGCCAUCACUCUGUUCUGAUGAUGUCGAUGCAUCACCCGCUCUCCCCCCUCCUAAAGCAACUACUUUGUCAUUUUCGUUUGCAUCAGUCUUAGCUUGCACGACAAGUUGUUGAUAAGUACUCUUCCUUUUGCCCUUCCCUUUCCCAGAUGAGCCCGUAGGGUGAGGUUUUUCAACCUGGAUGACGUACCUUCCAGUG